CCUACGGGAGGCAGCAGUGAGGAAUAUUGGUCAAUGGGCGCGAGCCUGAACCAGCCAAGUAGCGUGAAGGAUGACUGCCCUACGGGUUGUAAACUUCUUUUAUAAGGGAAUAAAGUGAGGCACGUGUGCCUUUUUGUAUGUACUUUAUGAAUAAGGAUCGGCUAACUCCGUGCCAGCAGCCGCGGUAAUACGGAGGAUUCGAGCGUUAUCCGGAUUUAUUGUGUUUAAAGGGAGCGUAGAUGGGUUGUUAAGUCAGUUGUGAAAUUUUGCGGCUCAACCGUGAAAUUGCAAUUGAUACUGGCAGGCUUGAGAGUAGUUGAGGUAGGCGGAAUGUGUGGUGUAGCGGUGAAAUGCUUAGAGAUCACGAAGAACUCCGAUUGCGAAGGCAGCUUACUAAGCUGCCACUGACAUUGAUGCUCGAAAGUGUGGGUAUCAAACAGGAUUAGAUACCCCUGUAGUC
rnacentral:rRNA from 1 species